rnacentral:sRNA from 1 species
UGGAGUUUGGAGCAUUUUCAACUCUAUCAUAACUCCAGAGCUCACCGAUUUCUAUAUAAACAAAUUGCGGAAAUUAAUGGGGACGAGCCGAUCAAUGGUAUGCAGUUUGAAAAAUGUGCUGGACGAGAAGCUCAUUUUAGAAUACAACUAAAAUGGUGCUUCGGGGAAGAGCUCGCUAAAAAAUUUUUAAGAGUUUUUGCAAUGUCCUGGAAUCGGCGGUGAAGAUGAAAAUACCCAACGAGCCAGCAGAAAAAGUGAUUCGGAAGGCAAUUCACAACAUUAAGAAAAGUAAUUUUCAGAAGAGCUCACGAGCCUAAAAAUACAAAGCUCUGGCCUCCUAAGAAAAUAAUUAAUAAUAGUUUUUCAUAAAUAAAGCUAACUGGAAAAAUAAAUGCAUGAUUUUUCGACAAAAAUCAUCGUUUAUUAAGUGCAUGAUUCGUCGGGAAAAAUCAUCACUUAUAAAAUGCUUGAAUUUCGGCAAAAAUCAUAGCUUAUUAAGUGCAUGAUUUUUUGGCUCCUAUCGCCCUCCUAUCUCUCUCUAACACACACGUAUCAUAGCCGGCUUUGCUUAGCGCAAAAC